rnacentral:snRNA from 1 species
GUGCGCACUUUGGCAGCACAUGUACCAAAAUUGGAUACAGAGAGGACGGGCACGGCCCCGCGCAUGGAUGGCACACAAAUCCAUGAAGCGCUGCGUAGGAUCGCCACGUUUUU